rnacentral:rRNA from 1 species
AUGCGGAAACCGUUGUUUUUCCGCAUUGUGGAGGGAAUAGAGGCACACGAUGACUACUUAAAGCUCAUAAAGGAUUGCUGCGGACAAUCCUCUUUCUCUGCCAAGCAGAAGUGCACGGCUGCUUUGAGGAUGCUAAAAGCAGUGGCAUCACAUGACUUAUGUAUUUGGCAUGUUUUAUUUGGAAUGCCGGCUUUUCACAACGACAUCAACGUGCUUCAACGAUCUCCGGUGUUCAGGAGGCUUUGCAACGGGGAAUCACUGCGGUGCAACUACACCGUUAACGACCGAGACUACAACAUGGGAUACUAUCUUGCCGAUGGCAUCUAUCCUCAGUGGUCGGCGUUUGUGAAGACCAUAUCCGAGCCGCAUGGUAAAAAACACAACCACUUUGCAACAAUGCAGGAAGCGGACAGGAAGGAUGUGGAGAGGGCAUUUGGUGUGCUUUAA